rnacentral:rRNA from 1 species
AGAGUUUGAUCAUGGCUCAGAACGAACGCUGGCGGCAUGCCUAACACAUGCAAGUCGAACGCGUGGCUUCGGCCACGAGUGGCGCACGGGUGAGUAACGCGUGGGAACCUGCCCCGAGGUGGGGGAUAACCGAUGGAAACGUCGGCUAAUACCGCAUACGACCUGAGGGUGAAAGAUUUAUCGCCUUGGGAGGGGCCCGCGUCGGAUUAGCUAGUUGGUGGGGUAACGGCCUACCAAGGCGAUGAUCCGUAGCUGGUCUGAGAGGAUGAUCAGCCACACUGGGACUGAGACACGGCCCAGACUCCUACGGGAGGCAGCAGUGGGGAAUAUUGGACAAUGGGCGCAAGCCUGAUCCAGCAAUGCCGCGUGAGUGAUGAAGGCCUUAGGGUUGUAAAGCUCUUUCGGCGGGGACGAUGAUGACGGUACCCGCAGAAGAAGCCCCGGCUAACUUCGUGCCAGCAGCCGCGGUAAUACGAAGGGGGCAAGCGUUGUUCGGAAUUACUGGGCGUAAAGGGCGCGCAGGCGGCUCUUCAAGUCAGAUGUGAAAGCCCCGGGCUCAACCUGGGAAUAGCAUUUGGGACUGGAGGGCUAGAGAUCGGGAGAGGAGAGUGGAAUUCCCAGUGUAGAGGUGAAAUUCGUAGAUAUUGGGAAGAACACCGGUGGCGAAGGCGGCUCUCUGGACCGAUACUGACGCUGAGGCGCGAAAGCGUGGGGAGCAAACAGGAUUAGAUACCCUAGUAGUCC